UACGUAGGGUGCGAGCGUUGUCCGGAAUUAUUGGGCGUAAAGAGCUCGUAGGCGGUGUGUUACGUCGGCCGUGAAAACCUGCAGCUUAACUGUGGCGUGCGGUCGAUACGGGCAUGCACUGGAGUUCGGCAGGGGAGACUGGAAUUCCUGGUGUAGCGGUGAAAUGCGCAGAUAUCAGGAGGAACACCGGUGGCGGAAGGCCGGGUCUCUGGGCCGAUACUGACGUGGAGGAAGCGAAAGCGUGGGGAGCAAACAGG
rnacentral:rRNA from 1 species